UAAGAAAGUACUGGAUUCCCUCUCACAAUGGGACUUUGAUUUUUUUAAGAAAAAGGUUUCAUAAGUUUUCAAAUAACCUGGAGCAGUUGAGCAAACUUAAUGUGCAGCGUGGUCCCUGCUGGCUGGGUUUGAGGGGCUGGGUCUCUCUGAGUGGAUGCUGGUGAGGUGCAGAGGAAGAAGAAAAGGUGCCUGAGGGCCUGUGUGGAAGGCCUGUCACACAGCACAUCCUGGGAAAUCUGUCCAGGAAGCAGCCAGGCGGGCAUCAGCCAGGCGGGCAUCAGCAUCUUCACUGUGCAGAUGAGAAACUGAGGCCGCAGAGGUGAAGGGACAUGCCCAGGAUCACUAAGGCAAGACGGGGGAAGA
rnacentral:lncRNA from 10 species